rnacentral:rRNA from 1 species
CGAAAGCCUGACGGAGCAAGACCGCGUGAGGGAGGAAGGCUCUUGGGUUGUAAACCUCUUUUCUCAGGGAAGAAGCUCUGACGGUACCUGAGGAAUCAGCCUCGGCUAACUCCGUGCCAGCAGCCGCGGUAAUACGGAGGAGGCAAGCGUUAUCCGGAAUUAUUGGGCGUAAAGCGUCCGCAGGUGGCGAUUCAAGUCUGCUGUCAAAGCCCACAGCUCAACUGUGGAUCGGCAGUGGAAACUGAAUAACUUGAGAGCGGUAGGGGUAGAGGGAAUUCCCAGUGUAGCGGUGAAAUGCGUAGAUAUUGGGAAGAACACCAGUGGCGAAGGCGCUCUACUGGGCCGUAACAGACGCUGAGGGACGAAAGCUAGGGGAGCG